rnacentral:rRNA from 1 species
UACAGAGGUCUCAAGCGUUGUUCGGAUUCAUUGGGCGUAAAGGGUGCGUAGGCGGCGCGGUAAGUCGGAUGUGAAAUCUCGGGGCUUAACCCCGAAACUGCAUUCGAUACUGCCGUGCUUGAGGACUGGAGAGGAGACUGGAAUUUACGGUGUAGCGGUGAAAUGCGUAGAUAUCGUAAGGAAGACCAGUGGCGAAGGCGGGUCUCUGGACAGUUCCUGACGCUGAGGCACGAAGGCCAGGGGAGCAAACGGG